ACAAAUUUUAUCCACUUGCCUCGUUUUUUGCAUUAUCCAUCUCCUUUUAACAUACUCUAUUAUUUUUCUCCUCAAAGAAAAAAAGAACUUGAGCAAACAUGAGAAGUCAACAGGAUCAACAAUCAAAGCUUCUUUAUGAGCUUUCUACUUUGAUUUUCAAUAUCCUCCGAUCUCCAACUACGCCCUUUGAGUUUUCCGAUCAGUCACCGGUUAUCCAACGCAGUACACAGUUGCCGACUGUGAGGCCGAUGCAGCAGAUUACUCCUGCCGGCUUUGCUUCCUUGCUUCUCGGUAUUUCUAUGGCUUUGAUGCUAUGUGGAUCUGUAACCUUCUUCAUUGGAUUUUUCAUGAUGCCUUGGAUUAUUGUGUUCGUUAUGCUUUUGUAUCUAGCUGGAAUUGUUUCUGUUUUGUCAAUGAUUGGACGAGCGAUUUUCUGCCCUAUGUCUUCAUCACAAUCGCAUAGUCAACGUUAUUUGCUAGGUAUCAGCUCAUAUAAGUUAAACUCCUUAAUGAUGAAAUCAGAUUGGCUAAAAACAAGUUAAAACUCUUAUAAAGGUGCGGAGGUUUGGCCGGGAGAAUUGGACAGGAAUGAAUGUAAAAGCUUUAUUUCUCGAAAGAAUGAAAAUUGGAAGCGUGUAAAAUAUUGUGAAACAAUUUAAACAAUUGUACUGGCACAGAACAACGGUGAGGAGUAUGGUCGUACUCUUUACUAGAUGCAGUUUCCUGCAAUGUUUAAAGAGUGUAUGGAGGAUGAAUACAUUGCAUGCUGGUGUUUGUUGCUGGAGGACACAGCUUAGGCAUUUGAAAGUGAAAAUAUUUGAUUAGCUACAACUUUACUGUAUAGAAAGACACAAAAUGGAUGUGCCAUGUUAUUUUAUCUUAGUGCAACUAUGUUGUAUUUCUUGUGCCAUUACACAUGUAGAAACAACACCCCACCCCCACCACGUCCCGAGUGAUAUUGCAACUACAAUCAAAGCUUGAUUAGUAUUUCCCUGAUAUAUGAUCAUGCCCAUUGGAACAAUAUUUGAACUUGAAAACUCACUAUCUGCUAUUGCAUAUUCUAUUUUUGUAACAAAAGCCACAUAUUAACUAUGGUGUAUGUUAUUGAUUUUUUCAGUUU